rnacentral:rRNA from 1 species
UACGUAGGGGGCAAGCGUUGUCCGGAAUCAUUGGGCGUAAAGAGCGCGUAGGCGGUCCGGUAAGUCGGUUGUGAAAACUGGGGGCUCAACCCUCAGAGGCCGACCGAUACUGCCGGGCUAGAGUCCGGAAGAGGCGAGUGGAAUUCCUGGUGUAGCGGUGAAAUGCGCAGAUAUCGGGAGGAACACCAAUGGCGAAGGCAGCUGGCUGGGACGGUACUGACGCUGAGACGCGAAAGCGUGGGGAGCGAACAGG